ACUCCUACGGGAGGCAGCAGUGGGGAAUAUUGCACAAUGGGGAAACCCUGAUGCAGCCAUGCCGCGUGUGUGAAGAAGGCCUUCGGUUGUAAAGCACUUUCAGUAGGGAGGAAGGUAGUGUAGUUAACACCUGCAUUAUUUGUACGUUACCUACAGAAGAAGCACCGGCUAACUCCGUGCCAGCAGCCGCGGUAAUACGGAGGGGUGCGAGCGUUAAUCGGAAUUACUGGGCGUAAAGCGCAUGCAGGCGGCCUGUUAAGUCAGAUGUGAAAGCCCGGGGGCUUAACCUCGGAAUUGCAUUUGAAACUGGCAGGCUAGAGUCUUGUAGAGGGGGUAGAAUUUCAGGUGUAGCGGUGAAAUGCGUAGAGAUCUGAAGGAAUACCAGU
rnacentral:rRNA from 1 species